rnacentral:rRNA from 1 species
CUACAAAGUUUUAAUUUGGCAAUCCUUGCUAAAUAGGUGUGGCGACUAUUAUGUGAGCAAGAAUCCCUAUGCACUAAGGUGCUUUGUGCAAAAUAUUACCCUUCAGGUGAUCUCCUUAAUGUUGAAUUGAAGAAGAGGUCAUCAUACACCUGGCAAAGUAUUCAAGUUGGGAUCCAGACUAAUGGGAAAUAUGUGGAUAGUCAGUGA